GGGUAUAUAGCUCAAGUGGUAGAACAUGUGCUUAGCAUGCACGAGGUCCUGGGUUCAAUCCCCAGCGCUUCCU
rnacentral:tRNA from 1 species